GCCUGGGUGGCUCAGUCGGUUGAGCAUCUGACUUUGGCUCAGGAUCUCAAGGUUCACGGGUUCGAGCCCCGUGUCGGGCU